rnacentral:lncRNA from 1 species
CUGCAUCAUGGUAAAUAACUGCAAAAAAGCAAGUGAGAUAAGGUAUCAGCAUAGCUAUGCAAUGUAUGAUAGAGAUAACAGGAUUGAGACACAGGAAGCUGAAAAACAUAGACAGAGGGAUGUAGAGCUAAUGUAAUCCUAGAGAACAGGCUAGAGAUUGAUUUGUAUGGGAGAGAUGAAGUGGCAGUCAAUGUAAGGGUUAGAUUAUAUUCUGAUGAAGUUUUUGGGUGAUACAUGGAUGGACGAUGGAGAUGAUAGGGUCAUGCUUGGACGCUAAACUUCUUUUGAAGGCCAAACAUCUGGAUAUUAACAAUAUAUUUUUUUUGAAAUAAAUCUGGAUAUUAACAAUAUAAAUUAUUUAGUAAGAAUCUGGAUAUUAACAAAAUGUAUUCAAGUCCAAACCAAUAUAAUUUUCUAACUGACAAAUUUUUCUUAUUUUUUGAAAUGUCUUUUUAAAUAUACAAAUUACAUAUAUUAUUUAGUAAAAAUUUGACUAUACAGAGUGUUUUGUAAUUCAGAUUACGAUUUUCAAAUGGCUGACUCCUAUUAUCUUGAUUCGUCAGAUUGAUCCUGGAAAAACCUUGCCUAGGGGAACGGAUGAAAUGGUGCUACAAGGCCCCACAAGGCAGAAUACCUUUCAUCAUGGUGCUACAAGGCCCCAAAGAAAAGUUUUAAAGAAAAGCUACUGAAAUAGCAGAAGCAAAAGUAAGGGAUUAAUCACAGAAGAGAAAGAAAGAAAAGCUAAAAAGAUUAAAGAAGAUCAAAUCCAGAGAAUAGACCCCAAUACUAUCUAAAGAUUUGAGUCCAAAUUCAAAAACAAUUUCAUAAAACAAUUUUUUUAAAAUAUACAAAAGAUAUUGAAGUUCUAUUAUCUAAUUAAGAAUUCUACCGAAAUUAAUUUAAUUUAGAAAAUUUACUACUUACCUACUACUAAAAUGUUUUACAAAAUAAUUUUUUGAAAUAAUUUUAAACAUAAAAAAUUAAUUAGUGACAGUUUGCAUAUUACUAAAAUGUAUGAGUCUAAAAACAUGCUGUGGGAUGAAGAGUAAGGAGUUGCAAUUGAUUCAUUAAAGGUGGAUCAAAAACCAAUGAUACAUUUGUCUGGGUAAAAAAAAAUUGAGUUUGAAAAGGUGUAAAGGGGUUGCACCUUCAUGGUACUUUUAGUACCAUACUUCAUAUUAGCGAAAAAAAGAGUUUGAAAAUAGUAGGUAAUGGAUGAGGCACCAUGUGACAUAGGCUAAUUAAUUUUGGCUUACAAAUUUUUAAUCUUAGACUAAAAAUAAAAUCAAGAACUAGAGAUAAUAGCGAAUAAAAUAAACUAAGAAAUGAAACAAGUGGAAUAAAACUAAAUCAUGUGAAAGGUUCCCUAAGCACAAUUACAAGACCUUUUCAGGACAGAAAGCAAUUAAAUUUUUCUUUGAUGCCCCCAAUCCUCAAACACAAAAGGUGCUUUUUUACGGAUGUCUAAAACUACCAUUUCCAAGUAAAUACAAUUUCCGGUUUCAAGGCUUCAGAAAACUGUCAAAUCACCCAUUUUAAGUACCCGAACAGUAAGUAAUGCCAGAACCCAAAAAUAAUGUUCAUGCAUCUGGGCUUGAAACGGAAUGUUACAUAAGAAACCUAUCCCAGACAGCCGUCUAAACGUCAAAGAUAGUAGCUCAAAACAGCAAACAAAAUAUCUACGUUCAGUGAAUAGGUGAAGUGAUAAAGCUAUAAUCAUGCAUGCUAGUUGUAAUCCGAAGCAGCAAAUAUCCAAUAGCCCCAAAGUGAUAAAACAAUGAUUAUUUAGUUAUGAAAAGAAUUUUCAUUAGGGUGUGCUCCCUUUCUCUUAGGAAUAUUCUCGCAAAACCCAUUGCCAAAUCCAUUAUACAUGCUUACUACAUGCCAAAGCUAAAGAAAGUGUAGAAAAAAAGAUUAGGCAGAGCCUAAAAUGCACAACACACGAAAAAAAAAAAUUCGUUUUUUUUUUGUUUCCCAUUGCGGAUAAAAUAGCUGUCUCAUACUAAGAUCUUUGAAGAUGGCCAAUCAAUUGGAGGUUACUGAAAUCUCAUUAUGAAUUAAACCAGGCCACAUGCUUCCAAUGCAACAAAAUGAGAUGAAGUUCGGGAUGAAUAGGCUCUCCACUCAUUGGAGCCUCUACAUGCGUGAUCAAAGCUCUUCCUUUGGCAUUAAAUAAUGCAAGACAGUGGCGGAUAAAAUAGCUGUCUCAUCCUAAGAUCUUUGAAGAUGGUCAACCAAUUGGAGGUUAUUGAAAUCUCAUUAUGAAUUGAAACAGGCCACAUACUUCCAAUGCAACAAAAUGACAAGAAUGAGAUAAAGUUCGAGACAAAUAGGCUCUCCACUUAUUGGAGCCUCUACAUGCGUCAUCAAAGCUCUUCCUUUUGACUUUCAUAUAAUGCAAGACAGUGAAUAGGUGCAAGUCAAAAAUCUAGUCGUCAAGUUCUUACACAAAACCUCUCCAAGAAAAAACAUACUGGCCAUCUCAACCAUUUUAGUGAUAAAGCAAAGUGUGUAAAAGCAACAGUACAACAACUAUUCUAUUUAUAAGAAAACGAGACUUCAUAAAAGGCAGAUGCACAACUGCUUUGAACAAAAGCCAAGCAGGAUGUGGAUCAAAAUAAUCAGACUGGAAACUUGCUAGAAAACGAACCAUUUACUAAACAAUUUAUUACCUAAGCCUCUGCCCAUAACCCAAACGUAUUCCCCAUUUCCUGGUACAAAGCGGCGUGUUAUAUGAAAGUUGGAUUCAAUACAAAGUAUACCAAAGCAACCAAACAAACAGUAACAAGCAUUGUUUCAAGUUAGGAUCAAAUUUUUCUACAAAGAUAGACAGGAGACACACGCUCGUGCAGUUAAUAGGAGGCACCAUUUCGUAACAGAAACCAUAUUAUGCCAAAUUCUCUCACAGGAUCAACAUCCCUCUUAAAUUAACACUAACUCAACAAAUUAACCACAAAUAAAUCCAAGGUCUCAAAUUCACCGGAUUAUCGCACCUUAUUGAUAUUCCCAUUCCAUUUAGCGUUAUUAAUGUUAUUAAAAUAAAGGAGAAGGGCUACCAUACAGAGAGAUCCAAAAUCGAUUGCCCCUAAAUAGAGGAUUUUUCCAACAGUUACCACAAGCAUGCAUAACUAUGUAAUUUUCUUAACUGAUUUUUUUUUUUUCCUAAAGGAGUGUGCGUAGUGUCAUAGAAGGUAAUAUAGAAACAGAUGCGAGCAAGGGUUUAAAAAUCUUUACCUAAGUACGUUCAAAUCAAGAAAGUUCCAGUAGCCCAACACCCCUUUCUCGAGGUCCUGAAUCCUGCAGACGACUCUCCCUACACUCCUUUUUAUUCGUUUUGCGUUUAUUGCUUUUAGUUGAUUUGUACCAUCUCCUUUUCUUUUGCUUGUUCGUUAUUCAGUCUCUCUGUUUCUUCUUUCGUUUUUCGUUUUCUUCUUCGAUCUCCCUGUUUCCCCCGCCGAUCUCGGCUCACUUUUUUCUUCCUUUCUUCCCCUCUUUUCCACUGCUCUAUUUCUUCGCUUCCCCAAAAACUCACCGAGAAUCCCCAAAAAAUCCUCUCUUUUUUCUCACGAAACAAAAAAUCUCCUCUCCCUCGGCCCCUCUGCUUCCCUGUUUCUCUGCUCUUCUCUGCUUAUCCACUAACUGAAACCCUAAGGCUGCCUCGUCUCAUCUGUCGUGAUCGAGCAGAGCGAAUAAAAUAAAGGGCUUCUCUAAAACGGCGUCGUUAUUUCCG